GCCCGCGUAGCUCAGUUGGUAGAGCGAUGCAUUCGUAACGCAUAGGUCGUCGGUUCAAUCCCGGCCGCGGGCUCAA
rnacentral:tRNA from 3 species